CAGUCGCCGCGGUAAUACGGAGGGGGCUAGCGUUGUUCGGAAUUACUGGGCGUAAAGCGUACGUAGGCGGCUUUGUAAGUUAGAGGUGAAAGCCUGGUGCUCAACACCAGAACUGCCUUUAAGACUGCAUCGCUUGAACGUCGGAGAGGUGAGUGGAGUUCCGAGUGUAGAGGUGAAAUUCGUAGAUAUUCGGAAGAACACCAGUGGCGAAGGCGGCUCACUGGACGACUGUUGACGCUGAGGUACGAAAGCGUGGGGAGCAAACAGGAUUAGAUACCCCCGUAGUCCCUGUCUCUUAUAC
rnacentral:rRNA from 1 species